AACGCGAAGAACCUUACCUACUCUUGACAUCUACAGAAGCCGGCAGAGAUGCUGGUGUGCCUUCGGGAACUGUAAGACAGGUGCUGCAUGGCUGUCGUCAGCUCGUGUCGUGAGAUGUUGGGUUAAGUCCUGUAACGAGCGCAACCCUUAUCCUUAGUUGCCAGCGAGUAAAGUCGGGAACUCUAUGGAGACUGCCGGUGAUAAGCCGGAGGAAGGUGGGGACGACGUCAAGUCAUCAUGGCCCUUACGAGUAGGGCUACACGCGUGUUACAAUGGACGGUACAAAGGGCAGCGAACCCGCGAGGGGGAGCGAAUCUUAUCAAAGCCGUUCGUAGUCCGGAUUGGAGUCUGCAACUCGACUCCAUGAAGUUGGAAUCGCUAGUAAUCGUGGAUCAGAACGCCACGGUGAAUACGUUCCCGGGCCUUGUACACACCGUACGUC
rnacentral:rRNA from 1 species